GAUGAACGCUGGCGGCGUGCUUAACACAUGCAAGUCGAACGGUAGAUGAUUCUUCGGAGUCAUUGAGAGUGGCGCACGGGUGCGUAACACGUAGCUCAUCUGCCCCUAAGACGAGGAUAACGUUCGGAAACGAGCGCUAAUACUCGAUAAGCUCCCGAUCUGUAGAGGAAUGGGAGAAAAGCUGAGGCGCUUAGGGAUGAGGCUGCGGUCCAUCAGCUAGUUGGUGAGGUAAAGGCUCACCAAGGCGACGACGGAUAGGGGACCUGAGAGGGUGGACCCCCACACUGGCACUGAGACACGGGCCAG
rnacentral:rRNA from 1 species